rnacentral:rRNA from 1 species
UGGGGAAUAUUGCACAAUGGGCGCAAGCCUGAUGCAGCGACGCCGCGUGGGGGAUGACGGCCUUCGGGUUGUAAACUCCUUUCGCUAGGGACGAAGCUUUUUGUGACGGUACCUAGAUAAGAAGCACCGGCUAACUACGUGCCAGCAGCCGCGGUAAUACGUAGGGUGCGAGCGUUGUCCGGAAUUACUGGGCGUAAAGGGCUCGUAGGUGGUUUGUCGCGUCGUCUGUGAAAUUCCGGGGCUUAACUCCGGGCGUGCAGGCGAUACGGGUAUAACUUGAGUACUGUAGGGGUAACUGGAAUUCCUGGUGUAGCGGUGAAAUGCGCAGAUAUCAGGAGGAACACCGAUGGCGAAGGCAGGUUACUGGGCAGUUACUGACGCGGAGGAGCGAAAGCAUGGGUAGCGAACAGG